CACGUAGGGCGCAAGCGUUGUCCGGAAUUAUUGGGCGUAAAGAGCUCGUAGGCGGUCUGUUGCGUCCGCUGUGAAAACUCGGGGCUUAACCCCGAGCCUGCAGUGGAUACGGGCAGACUAGAGGUAGGUAGGGGAGAAUGGAAUUCCCGGUGUAGCGGUGAAAUGCGUAGAGAUCGGGAGGAACACCAGUGGCGAAGGCGACUAUCUGGGCUGAAACUGACGCUGAGGCGCGAAGGCUAGGGGAGCAAACAGG
rnacentral:rRNA from 1 species